CAAAAGCGUAUAUUAAAGUUGUUGCAGUUAAAAAGCUCGUAGUUGAACCUUGGGCUUGGCUGGCCGGUACAUCUUUUUUGAUGCGUACUGGACCCAGCCGAGCCUUUCCUUCUGGCUAGCCUUUUGGCGAACCAGGACUUUUACUUUGAAAAAAUUAGAGUGUUCAAAGCAGGCCUUUGCUCGAAUAUAUUAGCAUGGAAUAAUAGAAUAGGACGUUAUGGUUCUAUUUUGUUGGUUUCUAGGACCAUCGUAAUGAUUAAUAGGGACGGUCGGGGGUAUCAGUAUUCAGUUGUCAGAGGUGAAAUUCUUGGAUUUACUGAAGACUAACUACUGCGAAAGCAUUUACCAAGGACGUUUUCAUUAA
rnacentral:rRNA from 1 species